AACGGAAUUGCGGCUGCUCAGUCAUGUUGAACGAUAUAAAAAAACUCUUGAUGACAUAAUGGAAAAGAUGGAAGAAAUAGAAACCAAAAUUGAUGAACAAAAAGUUGAAGAUAGCAUCACUCAGAACCAAAUUGGUUUUUUGGCGGACACUGUGGCCGAGCAGAAGGUAAUUUUGGAGACCUCGAGGGCCUGAAGACAAUCCAUGAAAAAAUAAAUGGAGGAAACAGGAUCUUAUAUAUAUCGGCAAUUCAAAGUAACCUUGGACCAGAGGGUGUAGCCAAAAAUUUAAAAAACGUUUUGUGUGACCAGAUGAAAAUAAAUGUAGAAGGUGUACAGGGGAAAGAAAGUUUAAGGCAAUUUAAAUCUUUCUACGAAGCAUUAAUCGAUGCAAUUGGAAAAGGAAUAGGACAUUCAGAGCUCCUACUGAAAAGGGCCAUACAGCUUCAAAAAAAGCGUGUGUUCAAAAGAAAUAGCGUAAUGAAUAGCAGUAAUAAUAACAGUACGGGUUAAAAUCUACGUUGUCGUUUUGGUAAUUUUU